rnacentral:sRNA from 1 species
GUGUUUAACUGGAAACUAGAACGAGAUGGAAGGGGAUGUUCAAGGCCCCUCCCUUGACUCUGAACGGACCCCCAGGGAACAUGCGAUCCUCUCUCUGGCGACGCCUCCCACCCACCACUAAUACUUGCUCCUGGACCGGAGGCGCGGAGGUUGGAGAGAGGAGGCAGGUGUCUGCAUGCUACCUGGGUCUCGGACAGGCGGCACUGGGACCACGAGGCAGGGCGCCAGGCUUGAAGCAGGUGACAUGUAGACGUCCCCUGGUCCAGCCUCGGAACCUGAGCGCCCUUCUGCCUGGAAAGUUUGUGGCUAGGCGCCAUGGCCAAGAGCAGCUCCCUGAAUGUUCGCGUGGUGGAGGGCCGCGCGCUGCCUGCCAAGGACGUGUCUGGGAGCAGCGACCCGUACUGCCUAGUGAAAGUGGACGACGAGGUGGUGGCCAGGACAGCUACUGUCUGGAGGAGCCUGGGCCCCUUCUGGGGGGAGGAGUACACGGUGCACCUGCCUCUGGAUUUCCACCAGCUGGCCUUCUACGUGCUGGAUGAGGACACCGUCGGGCACGACGACAUCAUCGGCAAGAUCUCUCUGAGCAGGGAGGCAAUUACAGCCGACCCCCGAGGGAUUGACAGCUGGAUUAACCUGAGCCGUGUGGACCCAGAUGCAGAAGUGCAGGGUGAGAUCUGCCUGUCAGUGCAGAUGCUGGAGGAUCGGCGGGGCCGCUGCCUUCGCUGCCAUGUGCUUCAGGCCAGGGACCUGGCUCCCAGAGACAUCUCUGGCACAUCUGACCCAUUUGCACGUGUGUUUUGGGGCAGCCAGAGCUUGGAGACCUCAACCAUCAAGAAGACUCGCUUCCCACACUGGGAUGAAGUGCUGGAGCUGCAGGAGAUGCCAGGUGCCCCGUCCCCACUGCGGGUGGAGCUCUGGGACUGGGACAUGGUGGGCAAGAACGACUUCUUGGGCAUGGUGGAGUUCUCUCCGAAGACCCUCCAGCAGAAGCCACCUAAUGGCUGGUUCCGCCUCCUGCCCUUUCCCAGAGCUGAGGAGGAUUCUGGGGGGAACCUGGGUGCCCUGCGAGUGAAGGUACGCCUGAUUGAGGACCGCGUCCUGCCCUCCCAGUGCUACCAGCCUCUCAUGGAGCUGCUCAUGGAGUCUGUGCAGGGGCCAGCAGAGGAGGACACUGCUAGCCCCUUGGCUUUGCUGGAAGAGCUGACCUUGGGGGACUGCCGCCAGGACCUUGCCACCAAGCUGGUGAAACUCUUUCUUGGCCGGGGACUGGCUGGGCGCUUUCUGGACUAUCUCACCCGGCGUGAGGUGGCUCGGACCAUGGACCCCAACACCCUCUUCCGUUCUAACUCCCUGGCAUCCAAGUCGAUGGAACAGUUUAUGAAGCUCGUGGGCAUGCCCUACCUGCACGAGGUCCUGAAGCCUGUGAUUAGCCGCGUCUUUGAGGAGAAGAAGUACAUGGAGCUGGAUCCCUGCAAGAUGGACCUGGGCCGCACCCGGAGGAUCUCCUUCAAAGGCGCGCUCUCAGAGGAGCAGAUGCGGGAGACCAGCCUGGGGCUGCUGACGGGCUACCUGGGGCCCAUCGUGGACGCCAUCGUGGGCUCCGUGGGGCGCUGCCCGCCCGCUAUGCGCCUCGCCUUCAAGCAGCUGCACCGGCGCGUGGAGGAGCGCUUCCCCCAGGCAGAGCACCAGGAUGUGAAGUACCUGGCCAUCAGCGGAUUUCUCUUCUUGCGAUUCUUUGCGCCUGCCAUCCUUACCCCAAAGCUGUUUGACCUUCGGGACCAACACGCGGACCCCCAGACUAGCCGCUCACUGCUGUUGCUUGCCAAGGCUGUGCAGAGCAUCGGAAACCUGGGCCAGCAGCUGGGCCAAGGCAAGGAACUGUGGAUGGCCCCCCUGCACCCCUUCCUGCUGCAGAGCAUCUCUCGUGUGAGAGACUUCCUGGACCGGCUGGUGGAUGUGGAUGGGGAUGAAGAAGCUGGUGUCCCAGCCAGGGCCCUGUUCCCGCCCUCGGCCAUCGUUCGAGAAGGCUAUCUGCUGAAGCGCAAGGAGGAGCCUGCCGGCCUGGCCACGCGCUUUGCCUUCAAGAAGCGCUACGUCUGGCUCAGCGGGGAGACCCUCUCCUUCUCCAAGAGUCCUGAGUGGCAGAUGCGCCACUCCAUCCCCGUGUCGCACAUCCGCGCCGUGGAGCGCGUAGACGAGGGCGCCUUCCAACUGCCCCACGUGAUGCAGGUGGUGACGCAGGACGGCACGGGGGCGCUGCACACCACCUACCUCCAGUGCAAGGUGAGACCCCGCCGCGAUGGGGAGCGGGGGGCGUCCCUCUGUUCCCACCCGCCCCUGAUCGCCUCCCACCCGCUGCAGAAUGUGAAUGAGCUCAACCAGUGGCUCUCGGCCUUGCGCAAGGCCAGCGCCCCCAACCCGGACAAGCUGGCCGCCUGCCACCCCGGUGCCUUCCGCAGCGCGCGCUGGACCUGCUGCCUCCAGGCUGAGCGCUCAGUGCCAAGAUGAGACUUUUGAGAUUCCAGUGAAUGCCUCAGACCCAGCCUCAG